rnacentral:rRNA from 1 species
GGCUCAGGACGAACGCUGGCGGCGUGCCUAAUACAUGCAAGUCGAACGGUCUUUCUAUGGAAGCUUGCUUCCACUGAGAAGAUAGUGGCGAACGGGUGAGUAACACGUGGGUAACCUGCCCAUAAGAGGGGGAUAACAUCCGGAAACGGGUGCUAAUACCGCAUAGUUUUCUUGAUCGCAUGAUCGGGAAAGGAAAGACGGCCUUUGUGCUGUCGCUUAUGGAUGGACCCGCGGCGUAUUAGUUAGUUGGUGAGGUAAUGGCUCACCAAGACGAUGAUACGUAGCCGACCUGAGAGGGUGAUCGGCCACAUUGGGACUGAGACACGGCCCAAACUCCUACGGGAGGCAGCAGUAGGGAAUCUUCCGCAAUGGACGAAAGUCUGACGGAGCAACGCCGCGUGAGUGAAAGAAGGUUUUCGGAUCGUAAAACUCUGUUGUCAGAGAAGAACAAGUUGGAGAGUAACUGCUCCAGCCUUGACGGUAUCUGACCAGAAAGCCACGGCUAACUACGUGCCAGCCGCCGC